rnacentral:tRNA from 1 species
GAAGAUGUAGCUCAGUUGGUAGAGUGCUUGCCUGGCAUGCACAAAGCCAUGGUUUUAAUUCCCAGCAUUUUUU